rnacentral:rRNA from 1 species
GGGAAUUGUUCGCAAUGGGCGCAAGCCUGACGACGCAACGCCGCGUGGAGGACGAAGAUCUUCGGGUCGUAAACUCCUUUCGAUCGGGAAGAACGCCUCUGGUGUGAAUAUCACCGGAGGGUGACGGUACCGAGAGAAGAAGCCCCGGCUAACUCUGUGCCAGCAGCCGCGGUAAUACGUAGGGGGCAAGCGUUGUUCGGAUUUACUGGGCGUAAAGGGCGCGUAGGCGGCCACCGCAAGUCGACUGUGAAAUCUCCGGGCUUAACCCGGAAAGGUCAGCCGAUACUGCGGGGCUAGAGUGCAGAAGGGGCAACUGGAAUUCUCGGUGUAGCGGUGAAAUGCGUAGAUAUCGAGAGGAACACCUGCGGCGAAGGCGGGUUGCUGGGCUGACACUGACGCUGAGGCGCGAAAGCUAGGGGAGCGAAC